UGGGAACGCGAAGAACCUUACCAGGGCUUGACAUCCUACUAAUGAAGCAGAGAUGCAUUAAGUGCCCUUCGGGGAAAGUAGAGACAGGUGGUGCAUGGUUGUCGUCAGCUCGUGUCGUGAGAUGUUGGGUUAAGUCCCGCAACGAGCGCAACCCUUAUCAUUAGUUGCUACCAUUAAGUUGAGCACUCUAAUGAGACUGCCCGGGUUAACCGGGAGGAAGGUGGGGAUGACGUCAAAUCAUCAUGCCCCUUAUGUCUAGGGCCACACACGUGCUACAAUGGUGAGUACAACGAGAUGCGAACCCGCGAGGGGGAGCUAAACUCAAAAACUCAUCUCAGUUCGGAUUGCAGGCUGCAACUCGCCUGCAUGAAGCUGGAGUUGCUAGUAAUCGCGAAUCAGAAUGUCGCGGUGAAUACGUUCCCGGGUCUUGUACACACCGGGUCUUGUACACACAGUCGGUGGGGGAGGGCAA
rnacentral:rRNA from 1 species